GAUGAACGCUGGCGGCGUGCUUAACACAUGCAAGUCGAACGAGAAGUGAAGACGGAAACCUUCGGGCGGAAGGCUUUAUUUCGAGUGGCGGACGGGUGAGUAACGCGUGGGUAACCUGCCUCAUACAGGGGGAUAACAGUUGGAAACGACUGUUAAUACCGCAUAAGACCACAGCACCGCAUGGUGCGGGGGUAAAACCUCCGGUGGUAUGAGAUGGACCCGCGUUCGAUUAGCCAGUUGGCGGGGUAACGGCCCACCAAAGCGACGAUCGAGAGCCGCUCUGAGAGAGAGCCCGGCCAAAUGGGGACGGAGACAGGGCACAAACUCCCACGGGAGGCCGCAGGGGGAAAUAGUGCACAAUGGGGGAAACACUGAUGCAGCGACGCGGCGGGAAUAAAGAAUUUUUUCGUGAGGAAAACCUCUAUCAGCAGGAAAAAAAAUGAGGGACCCUAAGUAAGAACCCCCGGCAACCUACGUC
rnacentral:rRNA from 1 species